AAGGCCCAGGCUUGGAGGCAGAAACACCCUGCACCUGUCAGGUGGUGGCCACUGUGCCAGCCCGAGACCCAAGCUAAAGCUCAGGGAGCCUCUUGCGUUCAGCAGGCUCUUGGAUCUUGUCCUGAAAGCCAUCGGCCACUCCCUGUCUUGUUGGAGGAUUUACUGACUUUACACUUCAGGUGCCCAGUGCCAGCUGUGGUUCUCAACAAACCUCCAGGAGAGGCAGGAAGGAGGCUGGGGCUCUGCCAUCACAAACCAAAGCGUCCCCACAGUGAAGGAAGAGCACGUGGGGCUCUCACCCACUCUCCACACCUUGACUGCAGGGGGCAGCACUACCUCUCCAGCCCCCUAACCAAACAGCUCACCCACCUCCACCCAGAGGGACCCGGAGCACCACCAGCCGGACACUUCGGAAGGAAACAAAGAGCACCAAACACAUUUCAGUACAUCUCAGUGACUCCUUCCCUUCCUACUAAAAUGUUUUGUGUGGUUUGUAAAAUUCCAGCAUCUAUUGCUAUGUGCCUGUGGGCUUUCUCCAUAGCAAAUAUAAUGCAAUAAACUGUGCUCAUAAACAUUC